rnacentral:tRNA from 1 species
UCCCUGGUGGUCCAGUGGUUAGGGCUCUGCACUUUCACGGCAGGGGAAUGGGUUCCCUCCCCUGUCAGGGAA